rnacentral:rRNA from 1 species
GACGAACGCUGGCGGCGUGCUUAACACAUGCAAGUCGAGCGGUAAGGCCCUUUCGGGGGUACGACGAGCGGCGAACGGGUGAGUAACACGUGGGUGACCUGCCCUUAGCUCUGGGAUAAGCCUGGGAAACUGGGUCUAAUACCGGAUAUGACUCCAUGACGCAUGUUGUGGGGUGGAAAGCCUUGUGCGGCUAGGGAUGGGCCUGCGGCCUAUCAGCUUGUUGGUGGGGUGANGGCCUACCAAGGCGACGACGGGUAGCCGGCCUGAGAGGGCGACCGGCCACACUGGGACUGAGACACGGCCCAGACUCCUACGGGAGGCAGCAGCGGGGAAUCUUGCGCAAUGGGCGAAAGCCUGACGCAGCGACGCCGC